AUCGCCAGUCAUCGAGCACCACCCACCACCACCGGUGGCCAGCCAAGCCAUGACGUUAUCCCCUCACACACUCCGCCCUCCCCUCCCACUCCCGCUCCCGCUCCCGCCAACUUCAAACCGCCGCCACCACCGCCCGCCGCCGCCUCCCUCCCGCUCCCGCCCCCGCGCAGUCCGCCGCAGCGAACUCCUCGCCGGGGACGGCAUGGCGUCGCACGGCUCGCACCCCACGCUGCUCGAGCACAUGGGCCGGACCGGCGCGCCCGCCGACCUCGCCGUCCUCGUCGCCCACAUCCAGGCCGCCUGCAAGCGCAUCGCCGCGCUCGUCGCGUCCCCCGGCAACGCCGACCUCUCGCGGGCCAAGCCGGCCGCUGCCGGUGCCGCGUCCGCGGCCGGGCGCGACGCGCCCAAGCCGCUCGACGAAUUGUCGAACGAGAUCAUCCUGUCGUCGCUCCAGAGCUCCGGAAAAGUUGCGGUGGUGGCGUCUGAAGAAAACGAUCUCCCCGUUUGGUUGUGCGACGAUGGUCCCUAUGUUGUUGUCACCGACCCGCUUGAUGGUUCUCGCAACAUCGAGGUGUCGAUCCCCACUGGAACGAUAUUUGGAAUAUAUGAUAGGCUGGUGGAACUCGACCAGCUUCCCGUGGAGGAGAAAGCUCAGCUCAAUUCGCUGCAGAGCGGUUCUCGCUUGGUCGCUGCUGGAUACGUCCUGUAUUCAUCUGCCACCAUUUUCUGCAUCAGUUUCGGUGCAGGAACCCAUGGCUUCACGUUGGAUAGAUCGACAGGAGAAUUUGUUCUGACGCAUCCUUCCAUGCAAAUACCCCCCAGAGGACAGAUAUAUUCAGUGAAUGAUGCGCGGUAUUUCGACUGGCCAGAGGGCCUGAAGAAGUACAUCGACACGAUCAGACAAGGCAAGGGGCAGCAUCCCAAGAAGUACUCUGCUCGGUACGUGUGCUCGCUGGUCGCUGACUUUCAUCGGACGAUCAUAUACGGUGGAGUCGCAAUGAACCCGAGGGAUCACCUUCGGUUGGUUUACGAGGCAAAUCCUCUCAGUUUCCUUGCCGAGCAGGCAGGGGGGCGAGGCUCAGAUGGCAAAACCAGAAUCCUGUCCAUUCAGCCUGUGAAGCUGCACCAGAGGCUGCCAUUGUUCCUGGGGAGAAUGGAGGACAUGCUUGAGCUAGAAAGCUACGGAGAUGUCCAGCAGAAGGUCAAUCCUGGAUACGAUGUCUAAUGUUAAGCAUGAGGUGAUAGCUUCAGGUAUUGUAAUGAGGUAACAGAUGUAUAUGGCAAAAUCUACAUUUGCAAGCACAGUAUUGUCUCUGUAUUUUAUUUUGUUGCCUUCUUGCCUAGGCAAUUGCAGAGUACUGCACAGUGGAGGUCAGAAGAAUUUGAUGUAGUUCACUGUGAAAACAAAAUAUGCAAUAUGGCUUUUUUUUUGUAACGCCCAUACAUUUUACUCUCGGGAAUAUAUAACUUACGAGCGAC
rnacentral:rRNA from 1 species